rnacentral:rRNA from 1 species
GUUACCUACGGGGCGCAGCAGUGGGGAAUAUUGCACAAUGGGGGAAACCCUGAUGCAGCGACGCCGCGUGAGUGAAGAAGGAUUUCGGUAUGUAAAGCUCUAUCAGCAGGGAAGAAAAUGACGGUACCUGACUAAGAAGCCCCGGCUAACUACGUGCCAGCAGCCGCGGUAAUACGUAGGGGGCAAGCGUUAUCCGGAUUUACUGGGUGUAAAGGGAGCGUAGACGGCAGAGCAAGUCCGGAGUGAAAGCCCGGGGCCCAACCCCGGGACUGAUCUGGAAACUGCUAAGAUAGAGUGCGGGAGGG